AGUGGCGAACGGGUGAGUAAAGUAUCGGAACGUGCCCAGUCGGGGGGGAUAACGUAGCGAAAGUUACGCUAAUACCGCAUACGAUCUAUGGAUGAAAGCGGGGGAUCGCAAGACCUCGCGCGAUUGGAGCGGCCGAUAUCAAAUUAGGUAGUUGGUGGGGUAAAGGCUCACCAAGCCGACGAUCUGUAGCUGGUCUGAGAGGACGACCAGCCACACUGGGACUGAGACACGGCCCACACUCCUACGGGAGGCAGCAGUGGGGAUUUUUUGGACAAUGGGCGCAAGUCUGAUCCAGCCAUGCCGCGUGCAGGAUGAAGGCCUUCGGGUUGUAAACUGCUUUUGUACGGAACGAAAAGGUUUGGCCUAAUAAGCUGAGCUCAUGACGGUACCGUAAGAAUAAGCACCGGCUAACUACGUGCCAGCAGCCGCGGUAAUACGUAGGGUGCGAGCGUUAAUCGGAAUUACUGGGCGUAAAGCGUGCGCAGGCGGUUAUGUAAGACAGAUGUGAAAUCCCCGGGCUCAACCUGGGAACUGCAUUAGUGACUGCAUAGCUGGAGUACGGCAGAAAGGGGGAUUGAAUUUUCGGGGUGGUAGCAGUGAAAUGCGUAAGAUUAUGGCGGAAGGAAUCACCGGAUGGGCGAAGGCAAUUCCCCUUGGGUCUGGUACUGACGCUCAUGCACGAAAGUCGUGGG
rnacentral:rRNA from 1 species